GGGUGGUCAGCGUGGGAGAUGGGUUCCUUGUUGAUGUCGACACGCCGCAUCACUGCUCCUCGCUGGACGAGGUGGUGCAGUACUUCGUGAAGCAGAGCAAAGGCAGCCUGCAGCCCCUGCACCGGGAGUACAGCAUGACGCUGGAGUUCGUGGAAGCAGAUGCUAAAAGCUCGGAGGUGACACGGCGGCCAUGCAAACCUCCCCCCUGCCCCCCCGCCC